rnacentral:rRNA from 1 species
UAAUAUAUCGGAACGUACCCAAGAGUGGGGGAUAACGUAGCGAAAGUUACGCUAAUACCGCAUACGAUCUAAGGAUGAAAGCAGGGGACCGCAAGGCCUUGUGCUCCUGGAGCGGCCGAUAUCUGAUUAGCUAGUUGGUGAGGUAAAGGCUCACCAAGGCGACGAUCAGUAGCUGGUCUGAGAGGACGACCAGCCACACUGGAACUGAGACACGGUCCAGACUCCUACGGGAGGCAGCAGUGGGGAAUUUUGGACAAUGGGCGAAAGCCUGAUCCAGCAAUGCCGCGUGAGUGAAGAAGGCCUUCGGGUUGUAAAGCUCUUUUGUCAGGGAAGAAACGGCUGAGGUUAAUACCUUUGGCUAAUGACGGUACCUGAAGAAUAAGCACCGGCUAACUACGUGCCAGCCGCCGCGG